rnacentral:pre_miRNA from 1 species
GCAUUACUCCUUCUGUCCCAUAUUAGUUGUCGCUCAAACGGAUGUAUCUAGCACUGAAGUGCGUGUAGAUACAUCCAUUUCAGCGACAACUAAUAUGGGACGGAGGGUGUAUUAU